GGGGUGAAAUGGCUUGAGGGUACCCCACAGAAGUACACACGAGUCUAAGCUGGAACCUUGGUGCUUCUUCCUCAUUGUGUGCUGUGGUGAGCUCAUGUGCCGAGGUGUGCUUCUCAGAGAAGUAAGAAUGAAAAGACUGCAUGUUCAUCCCCCGGCCAGUGCCUGUGGUACCUUUGUGAAGCCAGUUUUAAAGGACUUGAGUGACGGGCCUUCUAAAUCAUUUUAACCAAGUCAACUAUAUGCCAACUUUUUAUUUAGUUAUUUAUGUUAACGUUUUGAACCUUGACUUUGAUCAGUGACGUCACCUUCCUGCAGUUCAAAUGAUUGCUAAUCACAGCUCAUUGACGUGCCCCAGACUAUGACAAUAAGAGGGAGCAUCAUUUAGGGCAGGAGAGAGAAAGAGCUCAUAAACUAAUAGUCAACAAUAGAAGGUAGAAGAAAAUAAUCUGCUAAAGUUCCUUUCACGGAAAUGUCUGUUUUUCUUCCCUUAUCGAACCACAAAUGGGAAAAUCCCAGCUGUGGUUUGCUUCUGUUUGUUUCAAUAGGACUUUCACAAAUGCGCCAUGUGAUGGCUUUUACAAAUCGUUCACGCAAACAAAUCGUGAAACGUGCCUUUGUUCUGAUGUCUUACUAAUUGGAAGACAGCAGAGGUUUAGCUGUGACAAGCAUACAACAGGAUGCUACUAAAGGCGGUGGCUCUUUCAAUCCCAUAUGUAAUCUAGCAGAAAGAGCCAGGUUCUGCAUCAAUGCCUCUGAAUGUUGAAAACUGGUUGUAUUCCAGCUCUCUCUCAACUGGCCCAAUUACUGUCUCCCUGGGGACAAUGGAAACAUUUACCAAAAUAAGGGGCGCCAUUACGCAAAAGCUAAGGACUGCUUGCUUUCUUUCCUUCGUGGGGUCAGGUGGGUGGGAAGGAAGAGACUGGACUGCGUGACCUGGCAGUAGAUUCACACAGCACAAUGCUAGUGUAGCUAAUCGGGACAGGGCAUACUCACACACACUUUCUUUAGCUCUAAUCUUGUUCUGCUCUCUAGCACAUAUCAGAGAUGAGUUUGGGGGUGUUCACAUAUGGAGUCUCGAGGCACAGAGUUUAAAGGCACACGGCAUCACCAGAUCUGAUCACCUGUAUAUCACAGGCCACCAACACCACCCAGCACCCGCACACGAAACCCAACAACCAGAAUUAAACCAAAAUCUUACAGCCCACAGGAGACUAAACUGUUAGCACCACAGGGAGAGAAUAGAAGGGACUGAGAUGCACCAAUGCCCAAAGCCCCCCACAAUGUCAGGGAACUGAUUGAGUGAGAUAUACCCAGAUAACCCCGGCAAGUAACCCCCACUCCAUGAUGUAGAGGAAAGUGAGAACUAUCCAAGGGCCCGGCCAAUCUGACCUGACUUUUUUGUCCUGCCCCCUUUGGUUCGGGCUCUUCUCUACCUGAAAAGAUUCAGAACCAGCACCAUUAACCCAGCCUACCCUUGCCACUGCUGAACUUCAACAGUCUGGAUAAGUGGGGCUUGGAUCUAUACCAGCCUUGGUUUUGCACAAAAUCCACCCUCGGUUUUUCAAAGCUCUACUUUACAGGUUUUAACCCUAAUCAGAUAUCAAGAUCAAACAGAAUUAUGGGCUCACCGCAAUUCUCCACUGUUUCUCAAUUGCACAGGAAGAGCGUAUAAAUAAAAAAUAAGCUUCUAAACAUGCCCGAGGUUUUCUGUCCCCUUCCAAUGACCCCUUUCCCGUUUGCAUUAAUUUUGUAAUAUUACUUGCAUUCACAUUAUCCUUUCAAGGUCAGUAUUAGAUCUAGACUAAACUGGCAGUUGCCUUUUAUACCCACCUCUAGAUUUUUGUCCUGGGACUUCCACCACCAGUAGGCUAGUCCCAAACUGCUCGUCUCAGGCUCUGGCAGUCCUGGCCGUGCAGUUCCCCAUUCCAAAGGGUGUCAUUAUUCCCCUUCAGUUAUGUGUAGAGGGUCCCUUGUGUCUCAGAUGUGCUCUGGAAUCGUUUGUCCCUUUGAACCAACACUACAGCCAGCAUAAAGGAUUCUGGGAUGCAUUUAGCAAUUAAGGUGCCCACCAUUUGUCAGUGAGGAGACACAAGAGCACACUUAUUAAAAAAGAAAUAACAGAUGGGUGAUCAGAUGAGCUGAUAGGAGAAAAGGAGCAAAUAACAAUGUCUGGGCAGUCAAAUCUCUUCUUCCCAUAGGAUGCCAACAUACCUACGAUUGGCUCCGAAUGCUGUAUAUUGGUAUCUGUUACAGCAGCAGAGGAAUUGUGACUGGAGUGGAAUUUAACUGUUUGCUGGAUUAUGACAAACAACCAAAACUAAGAAGGGUGAACAAUAACAGUUUAAUGCCAUUAUGUAUUGAACUUUCUGCUUAGCGAUACCAAAGGGAUGUGCUGCUAGUUCUUAUUCCAAAUGUAAUGGUAAAAAUAUGUCUCAAUGAGAAGUUACU